rnacentral:rRNA from 1 species
AUUGAACGCUGGCGGCAGGCCUAACACAUGCAAGUCGAACGGUAACAGGGAUCAGCUUGCUGAUUCGCUGACGAGUGGCGGACGGGUGAGUCAUGUCUGUGAAACUGCCUGAUGGAGGGGGAUAACUACUGGAAACGGUAGCUAAUACCGCAUAACGUCGCAAGACCAAAGAGGGGGACCUUCGGGCCUCUUGCCAUCGGCUGUGCCCAGAUGGGAUUAGCUAGUAGGUGGGGUAACGGCUCACCUAGGCGACGAUCCCUAGCUGGUCUGAGAGGAUGACCAGCCACACUGGAACUGAGACACGGUCCAGACUCCUACGGGAGGCAGCAGUGGGGAAUAUUGCACAAUGGGCGCAAGCCUGAUGCAGCCAUGCCGCGUGUAUGAAGAAGGCCUUCGGGUUGUAAAGUACUUUCAGCGGGGAGGAAGGGAGUAAAGUUAAUACCUUUGCUCAUUGACGUUACCCGCAGAAGAAGCACCGGCUAACUCCGUG